GAUGAAGAACGUAGCGAAAUGCGAUAAGUAAUGUGAAUUGCAGAAUUCAGUGAAUCAUCGAAUCUUUGAACGCACCUUGCGCUCUUUGGUAUUCCGAAGAGCAUGCUUGUUUGAGUGUCAUUAAAUUCUCAACUACACCAGUUUUUGUUAACUGCGUUGUAGCUUGGAUGUGGAGGUUUUGCAGGUCCCUAGUUGGUCUGCUCCUCUUAAAUGUAUUAGUGGGUUGUGCCCCUAAUCUAUUGGUGUGAUAAUUAUCUACGCCGUGGAUUUGGGACUACAUUAGACCUGCUUCUAACCGUCCGAAAGGACAACACUUGACAUUUUUGACCUCAAAUCAAGUAAGACUACCCGCUGAACUUAAGCAUAUCAUAUCAAUAAGCGGAGGA
rnacentral:misc_RNA from 1 species